AUGGGCUCGAUAAAGGACAGAAAUGGUAUGGACCUAACAGAAGCAGAAGAUAUUAAGAAGAGGUGGCAAGAAUACACAGAAGAACUGUACAAAAAAGAUCUUCAUGACCCAGAUAAUCACGAUGGUGUGAUCACUCAUCUAGAGCCAGACAUCUUGGAAUGUGAAGUCAAGUGGGCCUUAGAAAGCAUCACUACGAACAAAGCUAGUGGAGGUGAUGGAAUUUCAGUUGAGCUACUUCAAAUUCUGAAAGAUGAUGCUGUGAAAGUGCUGCACUCAAUAUGCCAGCAAAUUUGGAAAACUCAGCGGUGGCCACAGGACUGGAAAAGGUCAGUUUUCAUUCCAGUUCCAAAGAAAGGUAAUGCUAAAGAAUGCCCAAACGACUGCACAAUUGCACUCAUCUCACAUGCUAGUAAAGUAAUGCUCAAAAUUCUCCAAGCCAGGCUUCAGCAAUAUGUGAACCGUGAACUUCCUGAUGUUCAAGCUGGUUUUAGAAAAGGCAGAGGAACCAGAGAUCAAAUUGCCAACAUCAGCUGGAUCAUGGAAAAAGCAAGAGAGUUCCAGAAAAAUAUCUAUUUCUGCUUUAUUGACUAUGCCAAAGCCUUUGACUGUGUGGAUCACAAUAAACUAUGGAAAAUUCUGAGAGAGAUGGGAAUACCAGACCACCUCACCUGCUUCUUGAGGACUCCGUAUGCAGGUCAGGAAGCAACAGUUAGAAAUGGAUAUGGAACAACAGAUUGGUUCCAAAUAGGAAAAGGAGUACGUCGAGGCUGUAUAUUGUCACCCUGCUUAUUUAACUUUUAUGCAGAGUACCUCUUGAGAAACGCUGGACUGGAAGAAACACAAGCUGGAAUCAAGAUUGCUGGGAGAAAUCUCAAUAACCUCAGAUAUGUAGAUGACACCACCCUUAUGGCAGAAAGUGAAGAGGAACUAAAAAGCCUCUUGAUGAAAGUAAAAGAGGAGAGUGAAAAAGUUGGCUUAAAGCUCAACAUUCAGAAAAUGAAGAUCAUGGCAUCCGGUCCCAUCACUUCAUGGGAAAUAGAUGGGGAAACAGUGGAAACAGUGUCAGACUUUAUAUUUUUCGGCUCCGAAAUCACUGCAGAAGGUGAUUGCAGCCAUGAAAUUAAAAGAUGCUUACUCCUUGGAAGAAAAGUUAUGAGCAACCUAGAUAAUACAUUCAAAAGCAGAGACAUUACUUUGCUGACUAAGGUCCAUCUAGUCAAGGCUAUGGUUUUUCCAGUAGUCAUGUAUGGAUGUGAGAGUUGGACUGUGAAGAAGGCAGAGUGCUGA
rnacentral:lncRNA from 1 species